GGGGAUUUGGCUCAGUGGUAGAGCACUUGCUUAGCAAGCACAAGGCCCUGGGUUCGGUCCCCAGCUCCG
rnacentral:tRNA from 1 species